rnacentral:rRNA from 1 species
AGUGGGGAAUAUUGGACAAUGGGCGCAAGCCUGAUCCAGCCAUGCCGCGUGGGUGAAGAAGGCCUUCGGGUUGUAAAGCCCUUUUGUCCGGAAAGAAAAGCUCCUGAUUAAUACUCGGGAGUCAUGACGGUACCGGAAGAAUAAGCACCGGCUAACUUCGUGCCAGCAGCCGCGGUAAUACGAAGGGUGCAAGCGUUACUCGGAAUUACUGGGCGUAAAGCGUGCGUAGGUGGUUCGUUAAGUCUGAUGUGAAAGCCCUGGGCUCAACCUGGGAAUUGCAUUGGAUACUGGCGGGCUAGAGUGCGGUAGAGGGUAGUGGAAUUCCUGGUGUAGCAGUGAAAUGCGUAGAGAUCAGGAGGAACAUCCGUGGCGAAGGCGACUGCCUGGACCAGCACUGACACUGAGGCACGAAAGCGUGGGGAGCAAA